AUGUGGCCCCUGAGAGAGGCAAAGACAAGCUUACAAACAGAUGUUUUCACAGGUAGAAAACCAGAUGCUACAGAGAUAUUAAGAAUGAUAGAAGAGAAAAUGAUAAAACUAAGAAUGGGACAGACUUGGGGACAGCACUAAGUUGGUUUUUCUGGCCACAUUGAGCUCUGCUUCUCAUCAACACCCUUCCAACAAGAUCUUGCCUGAUUCAGUCACUUGCUGUUAUGUCACCCUAAUUAUCUAGUUAUCAUUUGUUACUAUUGGUAUUUUUCUUGUUGAUUUAUUAAUUUAUUUUCUGUCUCUCUACAGUAGAACAUAAGCUCCCUGAGAGCAGAAACCCUACAUAUCUUCUUCAGUAUUUUUUCCCCAGUGCUUAAAAAGAUGCCUCCCCUAUUGUAAGUGCUCAAUAAAUAUUUGCUGAAUGAGUG
rnacentral:lncRNA from 1 species